AACGCUAGCGACAGGCUUAACACAUGCAAGUCGAGGGGCAGCACAGGUAGCAAUACCGGGUGGCGACCGGCGCACGGGUGAGUAACGCGUAUGCAACUUGCCUAUCAGAGGGGGAUAACCCGGCGAAAGUCGGACUAAUACCGCAUGAAGCAGGGGCCCCGCAUGGGGAUAUUUGCUAAAGAUUCAUCGCUGAUAGAUAGGCAUGCGUUCCAUUAGGCAGUUGGCGGGGUAACGGCCCACCAAACCGACGAUGGAUAGGGGUUCUGAGAGGAAGGUCCCUCACAUUGGUACUGAGACACGGACCAAACUCCUACGGGAGGCAGCAGUGAGGAAUAUUGGUCAAUGGCCGAGAGGCUGAACCAGCCAAGUCGCGUGAGGGAUGAAGGUUCUAUGGAUCGUAAACCUCUUUUAUAAGGGAAUAAAGUGCGGGACGUGUCCCGUUUUGUAUGUACCUUAUGAAUAAGGAUCGGCUAACUCCGUGCCAGCAGCCGCGGUAAUACGGAGGAUCCGAGCGUUAUCCGGAUUUAUUGGGUUUAAAGGGUGCGUAGGCGGCCUUUUAAGUCAGCGGUGAAAGUCUGUGGCUCAACCAUAGAAUUGCCGUUGAAACUGGGGGGCUUGAGUAUGUUUGAGGCAGGCGGAAUGCGUGGUGUAGCGGUGAAAUGCAUAGAUAUCACGCAGAACCCCGAUUGCGAAGGCAGCCUGCCAAGCCAUUACUGACGCUGAUGCACGAAAGCGUGGGGAUCAAACAGGAUUAGAUACCCUGGUAGUCCACGCAGUAAACGAUGAUCACUAGCUGUUUGCGAUACACUGUAAGCGGCACAGCGAAAGCGUUAAGUGAUCCACCUGGGGAGUACGCCGGCAACGGUGAAACUCAAAGGAAUUGACGGGGGCCCGCACAAGCGGAGGAACAUGUGGUUUAAUUCGAUGAUACGCGAGGAACCUUACCCGGGUUUGAACGCAUUCGGACCGAGGUGGAAACACCUUUUCUAGCAAUAGCCGUUUGCGAGGUGCUGCAUGGUUGUCGUCAGCUCGUGCCGUGAGGUGUCGGCUUAAGUGCCAUAACGAGCGCAACCCUUGCCACUAGUUACUAACAGGUAAAGCUGAGGACUCUGGUGGGACUGCCAGCGUAAGCUGCGAGGAAGGCGGGGAUGACGUCAAAUCAGCACGGCCCUUACAUCCGGGGCGACACACGUGUUACAAUGGCGUGGACAAAGGGAAGCCACCUGGCGACAGGGAGCGAAUCCCCAAACCACGUCUCAGUUCGGAUCGGAGUCUGCAACCCGACUCCGUGAAGCUGGAUUCGCUAGUAAUCGCGCAUCAGCCAUGGCGCGGUGAAUACGUUCCCGGGCCUUGUACACACCGCCCGUCAAGCCAUGGGAGCCGGGGGUACCUGAAGUCCGUAACCGCGAGGAUCGGCCUAGGGUAAAACUGGUGACUGGGGCU
rnacentral:rRNA from 1 species